CUGGGAGUUAGUUCUCUUUCCACCCAUUUGCCCGCACGGUCUGUUAUUUCUACCUGGGCUCCGUGUAGGGAAGGCUCCAGCUGGUUCUCCCGUCUCUGGCUCCAACUCCGAUAGAAGUGCCAAGAUACUUCUCGUGACCAGUACAGAGGUUGAGCUUUGCUAAGGAACGUGAGACAGGAAUGGACUCUUCUCACACGGGGCUGCAAAUGGCCACUUGACACUCAUGUUUGUGAGCAGUACUGGGGCACAGCCUUGCGUAUUCCUUUUUGCAGAAAAAAAAAAUUUAAUCCCAGAGAAAUCCUUGGUCAUCUCAUAAGCAGCAGGAGCUGUGACUCUGUUGAAAGCUGCAUGUUACGAUGGGCAAAGUCCUGGACUCCAUUCCCAGCACAAAGGAGUAAACUCGGGUACUUGGGAGGCUGAAGCAAAAAUGGUUUCUUGAGCCUGGGAGUUCAAGGUCAGCCUAGGCAACACAGUGAGAGCCCCCCCCCAUCUCAGAAAAACAAAAGCAAAGCAAACGUUUCUAUUCUCUGUGGCCGGCUUAAUAAAUAAAUUGUACUUUUUUUUUCUCUGCACUGUCAA